rnacentral:rRNA from 1 species
GGCUUANCACAUGCAAGUCGAGCGGAUGAAGGUAGCUUGCUACGGAUUCAGCGGCGGACGGGUGAGUAAUGCUUAGGAAUCUGCCUAUUAGUGGGGGACAACGUUCCGAAAGGAGCGCUAAUACCGCAUACGUCUACGGGAGAAAGCAGGGGACCUUUGGGCCCUGCGCUAUAGAUGAGCCUAAGUCGGAUUAGCUAGUUGGUAGGGUAAAGGCCUACCAAGGCGACGAUCUGUAGCGGGUCUGAGAGGAUGAUCCGCCACACUGGGACUGAGACACGGCCCAGACUCCUACGGGAGGCAGCAGUGGGGAAUAUUGGACAAUGGGGGGAACCCUGAUCCAGCCAUGCCGCGUGUGUGAAGAAGGCCUUUUGGUUGUAAAGCACUUUAAGCGAGGAGGAGGCUACCUAGAUUAAUACUUUAGGAUAGUGGACGUUACUCGCAGAAUAAGCACCGGCUAACUCUGUGCCAGCAGCCGCGGUAAUACAGAGGGUGCGAGCGUUAAUCGGAUUUACUGGGCGUAAAGCGUGCGUAGGCGGCCAAUUAAGUCAAAUGUGAAAUCCCCGAGCUUAACUUGGGAAUUGCAUUCGAUACUGGUUGGCUAGAGUAUGGGAGAGGAUGGUAGAAUUCCAGGUGUAGCGGUGAAAUGCGUAGAGAUCUGGAGGAAUACCGAUGGCGAAGGCAGCCAUCUGGCCUAAUACUGACGCUGAGGUACGAAAGCAUGGGGAGCAAACAGGAUUAGAUACCCUGGUAGUCCAUGCCGUAAACGAUGUCUACUAGCCGUUGGGGCCCUUGAGGCUUUAGUGGCGCAGCUAACGCGAUAAGUAGACCGCCUGGGGAGUACGGUCGCAAGACUAAAACUCAAAUGAAUUGACGGGGGCCCGCACAAGCGGUGGAGCAUGUGGUUUAAUUCGAUGCAACGCGAAGAACCUUACCUGGCCUUGACAUACAGAGAACUUUCCAGAGAUGGAUUGGUGCCUUCGGGAACUCUGAUACAGGUGCU